AUUGAACGCUGGCGGCAGGCCUAACACAUGCAAGUCGAGCGGAUGAAGGGAGCUUGCUCCUGGAUUCAGCGGCGGACGGGUGAGUAAUGCCUAGGAAUCUGCCUGGUAGUGGGGGAUAACGUCCGGAAACGGGCGCCAAUACCGCAUACGUCCUGAGGGAGAAAGUGGGGGAUCUUCGGACCUCACGCUAUCAGAUGAGCCUAGGUCGGAUUAGCUAGUUGGUGGGGUAAAGGCCUACCAAGGCGACGAUCCGUAACUGGUCUGAGAGGAUGAUCAGUCACACUGGAACUGAGACACGGUCCAGACUCCUACGGGAGGCAGCAGUGGGGGAUAUUGGACAAUGGGCGAAAGCCUGAUCCAGCCAUGCCGCGUGUGUGAAGAAGGUCUUCGGAUUGUAAAGCACUUUAAGUUGGGAGGAAGGGCAGUAAGUUAAUACCUUGCUGUUUUGACGUUACCAACAGAAUAAGCACCGGCUAACUUCGUG
rnacentral:rRNA from 1 species